UAGCUUCCCGCCGUCCCCCGUCCGACAGUCGCGCUCUGUUCGGUUUGCUGUGCGUAGUUGAGCUGAAUUAUUUUUGUUUUCUACUUAUUCAGUGAUAUCACCGGACUUAUUUCUGGACCUGGACAAAGUUAUUAUUGUGUACUAGUGACUGAGUGACAAAAGAAGUGUUCGCAUGGAUUGAGUGAGCAACGAUGUUACCUCCCACGGCCGGUCUAUCACAAGAACAACGCGACCGGCCCGAAAUGGCGUACCAGCAGCGUCAGGACGUUAGAGAGCUCACCAGAGAAAUCAUCAGAAGUGCCCGAGUAGCAAACAGACAGCAUUCAACAUCCCCUGGAGUUCGAGACCGUUUCCCGUCGACAUCGUCCACGGACGACAAUGAGAGCGGCACGGAUGGCGAAGCCGACCGUUCCCGCCGCGUCAGCCUCAUCCACGGAGGAGUCCCCACCCCGCCCCCAGGGAUCGUCUCCAUACGCAAGAGACGAGGGAACUUAGCCAAACACUCCGUCAAAAUACUGAAGAAAUGGUUGUAUGAUCACCGGUACAAUGCGUACCCUAACGAUGCUGAGAAGAUUGCUUUAAGUCAGGAAGCGAAUUUGACGGUUUUGCAGGUAUGCAACUGGUUCAUAAACGCCCGUCGCCGCAUCCUGCCGGAGAUGAUUCGGCGGGAAGGCCACGACCCGCUGCACUACACCAUCUCGCGGCGCGGGCGCAAGCAGCCCGGGUCUUCCGGCGGCAACGCCAAUACGGCUGGCGUGGUCGUCGCAUCUUGGGAUGGUGUUGAAGUUGAAAACGACGCGGACCGCAGUACCGAACAAGAGUACAGCGACGGGCUCCUCGUGUACCGCAGCGACGGCGACGACAUCGGCGACGGAGAGGAGGGCUACUCCUCUAGCGCCGUCUCCGAGGAGGAGGUCAAGUACGAUCCCUCCGUCUGGCAGUCCGUCAUACGGUACGGACCAGAGAACCAGGAGCAGGAACAUCCUGCCGCCAGAGGUCGCACGGCGGGCGUGGUGGUGCGCACGGCGGAGGAGGAGGGCGCGGAGGGCGAGGCGGCGGGCGGCGGCGGCGGCGGCGGCGGCGGCGGCGGCGGCGGCGGCUGGCACCCGCAGCUCGCGCACCUGCCGCAGCUGCCGCACCCGCUGCGCAGGCGCACGCAGGUUGUGCCAGUGACUGGCGGCGGCGGUGGGGAGGGUGAACGCGACAAGUUCAAGUGCCUGUACCUGCUGGUGGAGACCGCCGUCGCCGUGCGCCAGCGCGAGAAGGAGCAGGAGGAGGUGCCCGUCUAGUCACUGCCAGGUACCUACACUGUCACUAGCGCUACUCAAGUGCCUGUACCUGCUGGUGGAGACCGCCGUCGCCGUGCGCCAGCGCGAGAAGGAGCAGGAGGAGGUGCCCGUCUAGUCACUGCCAGACUGCAGUAUGGAUUGGACCCGGCAGCGCCGCCAAACGGAAUUGUACGUUCACGCGGUAUUUAACGUUACAAUCUUCCACUAAUCUAGAGUCACUCUCACUUCACACCGCUUCGUUACAGCGGACUCCACACUCCUUUACCAAUCCUUUUCAUUUUAACCGUAGAUUAUACAUUCAUUGUAUAUGAGAAAAAAGUUCUCAAAUGCCCAGUUAUUGUUUGAUCGCUUUUGUUGCGAAUAUAAUUAAUAUUUUCAGAAUUCUGAUUGAUUUUCGUUUAAAAUGUUGUAAAAGCUAUGGCUCGAUAUUUUUUUGUAUAUUAGUUGACACUUUGAUUUACGCUGCAGAUUUGACAUGAAAAUAUACCAAUCAUCGAUCGCAAGUCGCCAUUUCAAGGGUAUUCUGAAUUAAUAAAUAAAACGAAUUAUUUUUGUCAUUAUUACCAGGAAUGGGGGAAAAUAACUAGCUGUUUUGAUGUAAUAGAUCGUAACAUUACUCUAUAUGUACUAUUAUAUCAGUAGCGUGCGGUCAUAUUUAUAUACUACUAGACUUGAGUAGUGCACGUUUUAUAUAAUGGAUAAAAUGCACUUUUACAUAUGUAUAUUGUGUAGAUUUUUAUACAUUAACUUCCAUUUAUAUGGCCUAUGGUCUGGUCAGUUAAAAUAGAUUGUAGUGGGUGGAAUCUGCUUAAAUAACUGAUGGUGCCCAUUAAUUGGUCAUCUUUCCCUGGUCUAUGCUGAAACCAUUAUGAUAUUGGAAGCACAAAAAAUACCACAAAGGAUGUAAAAUUGAGUGGAUUUAUUAUAAACAAAAUAGGGUUCAUUAACAUUUUAAUGGUAGAUUGAGUACUUGUAGGGUUGAUGAUUAAAACCUAUUUAAUAAUGUGCGAUAUUGAUAAUCGAAAUCUUGUCUAGUAUUUGUAAAACUGUGCACUAUUAAAGUAGAAUAUAAUUUUUUAGGAUACACAAUAUAUCAGUAGCCUUCCUAUAUUUAUUAUAAUUAGAAUGACAGACUGGUUAAUCCUUAUCUAUGGAAAAUAUUUACUCAGCUUGUAUUGUUCCUACCUAUUAUAAAGAAAAUAAAUAAUAUAAUACAAAUUUGAAUUAUUAUAAUAUAAUACAUAUACAUUGAAUAGGGGAACUGUAUCGUCCCAGUAAUAUUAAAAUUAUUGAAAAAUAUUUCUCAUAUAAUCACGACGUAACUCAUUAAUCUUGAAUAGAAAUCUUCGAAUACCAUCAUUACUUAAAUUUGGUCCAGUAACUAUUAAAAACAUGAAAAUAUAUAUCUAUCUAUUGGCGAAAAAUUUAGUAGUCCCAUUUAUAUUGGUUAAAUCUUUGUCCAUUAUAGAACACUAUAAACAUAGUCGUCCAUCAUGGGUUACCAAGAAGACUGGAAGCGAUAUAUUAUCAUAUAUAUUAAUUAUAUUUACCCAUAUCAAUCGGAUUUAUACCCGCCAAAAAUACUGUUUGUGCUACGCGCCGCUAUCAUUUCACUCAUAAUUGACAACGACUUUGAAUGCUUAAUAUCAUUAGAAGUUAUAGAAACCAGUUAUUUCUUACUCAUAAAACAGGCAGUCGGUUUUAUAUUCAAUUAGUAUAUUUAUAUGAUUGAAUAUUUUUGUAUUGCAAUCUCAACCAAGAAGGUUAUUAUUGCCUAGAUGUUAAAAUUACGCUUGAAAAAUAUCGAUUGUCAGGGAAUUACAAUGUAACAUGUAGGUACCAACAUUAUCAAACAUGCGUCUAUUUACUCCAUACAGGGGCUCAUUACCUAUAUUGACGGUGCGCAAAUGUAUUAUCAUUUGUUUAAUAUUCAUUCAUAUUGAAUGUCACCUCAAGCACAAUUUCUCAGCAACCAACUGUAUGGAGUAAUAUAGCAGUAACUAUUCAUAAAAAUAUAACUUGUGUCCUUGUAUAUAGUUUGUACACAUACAUAGUGUAUGUUAGGUCUAAAGUUUUGUAGCUUCUAGUUAUAUGUUAGUGCCAACGAGGCAAGGUUUAUGUAGCGUACCAUCUCGCGGUAAUUUCCGUGAUAAUUUAUUUAAGGGUGAUACUUUUAGUUGAGCAAAUCUUUGAUAAUACUAGCUGACCCAGCGUACCGCUUUCUUAAAUAAUAAAGCAACUACUGAAUGGAUUUUCACGCAGUUUUCUCCAUUCAUGCAGUAGUUUAAAAGGAAGGAUUAGAUGUAUAAUUUGAAGUGCGAAGCUGCGGUGGGUCUCUAGUAUCAUAGAAGUUUAAACGUAGCUAUUUUAGAAGGUUAUAUUAAUAUUCGCACUGAUAUCAAAUCACCCUUCUUUUUGUGUGAAAGCAAAUUAUCGAAGUAAUUACCAGAUUUAAUUUUAGUUUUCUAUUAAUUCUUAUGAUGUUCUAUCAACUUAAGCAGAAGCUUUAAAUGGAAGUAGGGACACGUUUUUAGAAUAAAAGUUGAGUCUUAAACAUAAAUUGAUUCUCUAACUAUAAAGGUGGCUUCCUGGUUUUGGUGUUGGAGCUAUCUUGAACACGAGUCCUAAUAAAUGUAUGAAAACAUUUAAAUCAUCAUUAUUAAUGUUCAACUCCAGUACACUCCAUACAAUAAUCGUCUCGAUAGAAUUUUGUACCAAAUAUAGUAUAAGAGCUAAUAUUUUUUGUGUUCAUGCAUAAACAUAAUAUUUUAUAGUAUUUUUCCAAGAUAUACUAAGCCAAGUGUAUUGGAGUUGUUUGUAAAUUUUUUAUAUGUAUUUAUUGGUUGUGAGUUUGGGAAAUCGCUGUGUGAAAAGAUGUACUUGUUUGUUAUAUGAUUACAUUUAUUUUGUUUGGUAGACCCAUUGGAAGACACUACAAAUACUCGAUGACGCAGAAUACUCGAAAAUUUGUCUUUUUCGUCAUAAAACGACUUGUUUUCGAUCAAUUAAAUGCAUAUUGCAAUGUGUCUACUAAACUUGAAAAUAGGGCAAUACGAUUGCUGGCGAUGAAUCAAUCACUACACAAGUUUCCAAAAAUCAUUUUAAUAUCAAACAUCAAUUAUUUCUAUAUUACAGUUGGAUCAAAUAUUACUAUUUCAUACGAUAUACUAUAUCCCUUUAUGACGCUUAGUUGAUAUUAAGUUAAUGUGUAUCGUAAAUGGUAAAUAUAGUUAAAGGUAUCACAAGUAUUUUAAUCUAGCUGGCGUGGAUAGUUUGUUCGUCAAAUACCUUUCAUUUAAUCCUACCCACAUAUUAUAAGUACAGGGAAUGUAUUUAAUCGCAAUUUACACACUAUGUUCUAUGAGGACAUAAAUCAUCAUUAUUUAAUUUAUUCAUAUUUGACCUUCUUGAUUACAAGACUCCGUCGUCCAGCCAGUUGCACUUACCGUAAGCAGUCAAUAUUAAUUAGCUCUUAAGUCGUUUGUUUUAAGGUGACUUUUCGUUUAACUCUUAAUAUAAGUAGGGUGUCAUUUUCGUUUCUUAAUUUACCUGAGUACAAUAACUUAGAACUUAGUAUUUUUCGUUCGUGUAAAUACUCCUGUGUAAGAUGCGUAAUCUGUUAGUGAAUAAAAUAAAAAUAAUUUCAAAA